AUUAUUUGCCUUUGGAAAGUCAGUCUCCCAUGUCCAUUUCGCCCAUGCCCCAUCUUCGUUUAAAACGAUAGAUAUUUCUGCUCUGAAACUUGUGUAGUACUUGAGAAUAUCCCCCCUCAGCACAGUAUAUGAAAAUUUGGGCUUCUGACUUUCAUUGAUCUGCUCUUCCGACUGUUUAAUUCGAGGAGAAUCUUGGCCAUAUUUAAUGUAGCGAACAGUGCCAUCUGCGUUACUGGUAGAGAUGGUGGUGUAACGGCUAGGAAUG
rnacentral:misc_RNA from 1 species